UAGGGAAUCUUCCACAAUGGACGCAAGUCUGAUGGAGCAACGCCGCGUGAGUGAAGAAGGUUUUCGGCUCGUAAAGCUCUGUUGUUAAAGAAGAACACGUAUGAGAGUAACUGUUCAUACGUUGACGGUAUUUAACCAGAAAGUCACGGCUAACUACGUGCCAC
rnacentral:rRNA from 1 species